rnacentral:lncRNA from 1 species
GGUUUGAAGGGGGGAAGGAAAAAAAAACUGGGGAGAACUAGGCAGCUUUCUGAUCAGAGUUCAGAUAAAGAGGGUCACAGUAAUUUGUGGGCACUGACGAAGAUAACCCAAUGGAUUUGAGAGUUACUGCAAAAGAAGCAGACAAACUGAAGAGUUGCAGACCCAACAUAUAUGAGCAAAGUGAACAUCCUCAGAGGUUUGACUUUCAGUGGCAGCAGGGAUGCACAUGUAAUUGAGAUUGGUUCCUAUCUAGGGAUUAUCUCUCAUUGGUGACUAAUGGACACUUUUCAUCAUAGAGAAAUCAAGGGCCCUAGGCCUUUGUUUUAUGUGAUAAAUCACUCUCUUUCUUCCCAAAGCAAAAUGAAAGGAGCAAUUAUAUCCUUGAUGAUUCUUAAUUGUCGCAAUUAA